AAUAAGUGGUCAUGAGUUUUCGUGCCUAACUUUGAUCAUCUGUCUUAUUUAAUUUUUUUUAUAAUUAGCAUUUUUGUUGUUAUGAGAUGAUAAAACAUGAAUAGUACUUUACUCGUGACUUAUGUUUUUAAUUUUUUUAAAUUUUUUUUAAAUAAGACGAACGAUUAAAGUUGGGUGUGAAAAACCAUGGCUACACUUAUU
rnacentral:pre_miRNA from 1 species